rnacentral:lncRNA from 1 species
GUCGGUGCGAGUUCGGCCUCCGUAUCUCAUUGCCAGCAUAUGGUCUAUCAUCUGGUCUCAUUCUUGAAACCUGAUUGUUGCUUGGUAAUUAUAACGUCAUGCAUGGAAGGUGGCAAAUAGAAAAUAGUCGUGAAUUUGAG